AUGUGGCAAGGUUUUGGUAGCAGGGAGGCUGCAGGGGUGGCUUCUGGGAGAAGGCACUAGAAGCUGCCCCCAUGUAGGACAGAGCUAGUUCCAGCUGGCUCCAAGAUGAAUCCACUGCUGACCAAAGCUGACCCAAUCAGCGAUGUUGGUAGUGCCUCUGUAAUAACGUAUUUAAGAAAGGGUAAAAAAUGCAGUGCAGCAGCUGUGGGAGAAAAUGUGCCAGAAACAGCCCUGCAG